rnacentral:misc_RNA from 1 species
CUCAGAGCCAGGCGCAGG